CUGGAAGUGUAUGGAAGUCUGGAAUCUAGGACCAGGAUUUAAUCACGCCACAUUAUGAGGUCACUCUCUGUAUCAGGAUGUCCAAUAAACAUCUGAGCAUCUGAUCUCCUUCCACUGCCUUCCUGAACCUGCUCCUCCCACAGUGUUCCCCUUCUCGUCGUUGAUUUCCAUGGCUACACGAUGAUUACUUCCUGAGAAACAAAGGAACACAUGUGUUUGGAAGUAAAAAGGAAGCAUACAGAUCACCUAUUGAACCACAACCCUGCAAAACCUGAUUAAAACAGAAGACGGAGAGGAAGAAAGGAAGAGGUGGAGAGAUGCUGAAAAAGAUGGUUCCCUGUGCCAGCUACCAGAGACAAGUCUGGCCUAGGAGAGCUCAGUUGCUGGC